AAAUCAUGUUUCUUAGAAAAUUAAUCGAUUGGAUUAACAAAACAAUUGAUUGAAUUUCAGGUUACCACAAAACAAUCGAUUGAAAGUUGCAAGGCAGUAUGGUUUUCG